AUCAGUACACUGACCACAUAGGAACAGAUGACUUCAGGGCUAACUCAUAAAAGACAUUAAAGUGGAAUUAUGCUGUGACUGAUAUUUUCUGUUCUGCGCAAUGCAGCUGAGUGGAUAGCUUCUUGCUGCUGCAAAACCAACAGGACAGCAGCAGGAUGACAAUACCAGUGCAAAGGGCAGAGCGUGUGGACCGUCUCUAAUGAUGAAAAAACAUCCAGUCAAAACCCUGCCUAAUACCUCUGGACUGAAGAGAUGCCCACAUUUCCUCUC